UAAUACGUAGGUGGCGAGCGUUAUCCGGAAUUACUGGGCGUAAAGCGCACGCAGGCGGUCUAGCAAGUCUGACGUGAAAGCUCCUGGCUUAACUGGGAGAGGUCGUUGGAAACUGCUGGGCUUGAGGCAAUGAGAGGGGUGUAGAAUUCCCGGUGUAGUGGUGGAAUGCGUAGAUAUCGGGAGGAAUACCAGUGGCGAAAGCGGCACCCUGGCAUUGGCCUGACGCUCAUGUGCGAAAGCGUGGGGAGCGAACGGG
rnacentral:rRNA from 1 species